GCAAAGAGAAAUCUGACUUAUGAUGCUGCAUUAUCUGCAUGGAGGGGGCUCUGAGAAGAGGAGAAACAACAUGAAAGUACAGGCUUUCACACAUCUGGGAUAAGAGCAGAAGGAGCAAAUAUGUAAGAAGCACUGGGGCCAGAUUUACGGGACCUGUGUCACCUCUGCUGUACCGUCUUAGACAAUGGGCUCCUUCCAGCAGCAUCAGGCCUGCCGCUGCACCCCAGCCCCUGCCACCAGUCCUGCCGCUGCACCCCAGCCCCUGCCACC